CAGGCUCGUGUCAGAGGUCGCGGUCAUUCCUGGAGGUUCUGGGAAAGGUCAAGCCUCUCCUGGUCAUCCUUCACUCAUGGAGAAGUGCUGCCUAGGUCCCAACUCCCCAACAGACCCCACUUAGCAGGUGUAGUGUCUGAAAGAUCCUGUUCUGGACCCAGACCACCAACAACACUUCAGCUCCCUUUGGGCAGUGCUGUGAAUACCAAUGCAACUAAUAUUCCUGUGACCAGGGCUCUCAAACUGGCAGUAAGAUGCAUUUCUAUACUGUAUUUCAUUACUGACCGCUAAACAGUCAAACAGCUGA